ensembl:snoRNA SNORA28 small nucleolar RNA, H/ACA box 28
AAGCAACACUCUGUGGCAGAUGAUCACAGCUAUCUGACACAAUUUGAGCUUGCUAUAGUAAGGCAGUCUAACCUAUUCCGGUGUUCUCUUUUCCAUGAGACAAGCCGUUAUAUAGACUUGAACAGU